rnacentral:rRNA from 1 species
ACGCUCGACACCUACGGGAGGCGGCAGUGGGGAAUAUUGCACAAUGGGGGAAACCCUGAUGCAGCGACGCCGCGUGAAGGAAGAAGUAUCUCGGUAUGUAAACUUCUAUCAGCAGGGAAGAAAGUGACGGUACCUGACUAAGAAGCCCCGGCUAACUACGUGUCAGCAGCCGCGGUAAUCUGAGCGGGCUGGCAAGGC